rnacentral:rRNA from 1 species
UACAUGUGGGGCAAGCGUUGUUCGGAAUUACUGGGCAUAAAGGGUGCGUAGGCGGCUUGUUAAGUCAGGGGUGAAAGUUUUCGGCCCAACCGGAGAAUUGCCUUUGAUACUGGCGAGCUCGAGUGCGUGAGGGGUAACCGGAACGAGCAGUGUAGCGGUGAAAUGCGUAGAUAUUGCUCGGAAGGCCAACGGCGAAGGCAGGUUACUGGUACGCAACUGACGCUGAGGCACGAAAGCGUGGGGAGCAAACAGG